AAACUGACCAGAUGAAUGAGAAACCC
rnacentral:piRNA from 1 species